CAUUAACGUAUCUCCGAGUCCGGUGGCCGGCGUCGCUGCGCCCCCGGCUCGAACCCCACAAACCCACCGUGCUCCUUUACGGCCCAGGGCGUCUUUGGCGAAAGCCGAGCGCCCGAAGCCGCAUCCAAAUAGACUCCAGUUUAAAAGAAUGCAAAGCAGACUCUGAUCUGCCCACAAUUUGAAACAACUUUCAACAACGGAUCUCUUGGCUCUCGCAUCGAUGAAGAACGCAGCGAAAUGCGAUAAGUAAUGUGAAUUGCAGAAUUCAGUGAAUCAUCGAAUCUUUGAACGCACCUUGCGCUCCUUGGUAUUCCGAGGAGCAUGCCUGUUUGAGUGUCUUGAAGUCAUCAACCGCUCCCGUUUUGACGCGGGGGACCGGGUUGGAUCUGGGGGUGUGCCGCUGCAAAGCGGCUCCCUUCAAAUGCAUCGGUUGGACCUGUGGGUCGAACUCGACUGGGCGUUGUAACAUCCUCGCUCUACCGAGAGGUUCCCCUUUGGUGUCCUCCCACGACUCGCCUGAGGAGUGGCGGUCAACUUGCUUUGAAAUCUGACCUCAAAUCAGGUAGGACUACCC
rnacentral:rRNA from 1 species